AGUAGCGAUAAUUGGGGUAAAAACCCUCAACGCCGAAAAUCUAAGGUUUCCUGGGGAAGGUCAGUCCGCCCAGGGUCAGUCGGUCCCUAAGGUCAGGCCGAAAGGCGUAGCCGAUGGACAGCAGGUCAACAUUCCUGCACCGCCUGAGACACGUUAUCACGAUGGGGAGACACAGGAGGAUAGGCAUACGCGCGAUCGGAAAUGCGCGACCGCCCAGUAGAGGGAGCUUCCAGGCAAAUCCGGUAGCUCUUAACCUCGAGUACGGCGGGGAAGGUCGCCUUCGGGCUUCCGAACUUGUCGAUUCCACGCUGUCGAGAAAAUCCUCUAAGGAGCGUCUCAGGUGACCGUACCGCAAACCGACACAGGUAGAUAAGAAGAGUAUUCUAAGGCGCACGAGUGAGCCCUCUUUUAGGAACUAGGCAAGUUAGCCCCGUAACUUCGGGAAAAGGGGCGCCUUAUUAGGGUGAAGCCGUACAGGCGGAGCCCGAGGAGGCCGCAGAGAAAUGGCUCUAGCGACUGUUUAAUAAAAACACAGGACUCUGCAAAGACAUAAAAUCGAUGUAUAGGGUCUGACGCCUGCCCGGUGCUGGAAGGUUAAGGGAAGGGGUUAGCCGUAAGGCGAAGCUCUGAACCGAAGCCCCAGUAAACGGCGGCCGUAACUAUAACGGUCCUAAGGUAGCGAAAUUCCUUGUCGGGUAAGUUCCGACCCGCACGAAAGGCGUAACGACUUGAGCGCUGUCUCAAAGAGGGGCUCGGCGAAAUUGUGGUACCGGUGAAGACGCCGGUUACCUGCCGCUGGACGGAAAGACCCCGGCACCUUAACUGCAUCCUAGCAUUGGAUUUCGGUCCAUGAUGCGCAGGAUAGGUGGGAGGCUAUGAAGCAUCGGCUCCGGCCGGUGUGGAGCCAACGGUGAGAUACCACUCUUCCUGGUCUGAGAUUCUAACCUCCGCCCCUGAUCGGGGCGAGGAACAGUGUUAGGUGGGUAGUUUGACUGGGGCGGUCGCCUCCUAAAAUGUAACGGAGGCGCCCAAAGGUUCCCUCAGGUUGUUUGGAAAUCAACCGCAGAGUGCAAAGGCAUAAGGGAGCUUGACUGUGAGGCCGACGGGCCGAACAGGUGGGAAACCAGGGCUUAGUGAUCCGGUGAUCCUGUAUGGAAGGGUCAUCGCUCAACGGAUAAAAGGUACGCCGGGGAUAACAGGCUAAUAGUGUCCAAGAGCUCACAUCGACGACACUGUUUGGCACCUCGAUGUCGGCUCAUCUCAUCCUGGGGCUGAAGCAGGUCCCAAGGGUCCGGCUGUUCGCCGGUUAAAGAGGUACGUGAGCUGGGUUUAGAACGUCGCGAGACAGUUCGGUCCCUAUCCACGGUAGGCGUAGGAGAUUUGAGGGGGGCUGCCCAUAGUACGAAAGGACCUGGGUGGACGAACCUCUAGUGUACCAGUUGUCCCGCCAGGGGCAGCGCUGGGUAGCUACGUUCGGUUGUGAUAACCGCUGAAAGCAUAUAAGCGGGAAGCACGCCCCAAGAUAAGAUCUCCCUCCCGCAAGGGCUGAAGGUCCCUGGUAGACGACCAGGUUGAUAGGCUGGAGGUGUAAGCGCAGAGAUGCGUUCAGCUGACCAGUACUAAUAGACCGUGAGGCUUGACCAU
rnacentral:rRNA from 1 species